AUGCCUGGAGCUCGGAUGGCUGUGCCCCCCUCAGGUCAAGGAGCGUGCGAAUGUUGGAACUCAGAGCUCCCCACCCGCUCCGUCCGGUGCCACCCUGGGCUGGGUACCAUCCUCGGCCGUGGUGAACCCCACCCAAGGUGUGAGCCUGGGAGCGGCCGGCCUCCUCCGCCGGACCAACUCGGUGACGAGCCUGCUGUCGCUGGUGGCCUUCGGUGCGGACCCACUGUGUGCCUGCCAGGCUCUCGGGAACUCCACAUUCGUGUGCUCAGACAGACAUCAGCUUUGGAUGGUAGGUAUAAAUGGCUGCUUCUGAAGAUACAGAAAGGAGGCCUCGAGAGGCCAGGCUUCACAGCCCAGAAGGUCCUCUGUGGCCCUGAUUGGCUCUGGAGCCUCGGCUUCUCCCCUGGGCUGGCACCUCUGCCCCCGGAUGCUGUGUCUUAGAAGCCUGCGCUCACCGGCACGCUGCCCACACUGCCUGCCCUGGGAGCCGUCAGCCCCCCGAGGCCCUCCUGGAGCUGUCUCGGCCACAGUGGGGUGGCAGAGUGGGGCACGCACCCCCGGUCUGUGCAUCUGGGACCCCCCCUGGCGAGGGCGGUGCUGAAAAACAUGGGCCGCAGGCUCGCCUGCCGACCUCUGACCCCUCCUGCCCUGUCUCAGGCCCCUCUGAGGGCUUGAGUCCUGGCACAGUGCCACCCAGGGUGCCCGCAGCACCUCUGCCCGCGGUUUGUUAGCACUCGGCGUUUCCAGGAAGGACGUCUCUCCCACACAUGGCCUCUGAGAGGGGCCGGGUGGGCUGCUGCAGGCGCGUGUGCCCAAGGCAGGGCUGAGCCCCCGGGGGUGCUGCAUUCCGUGGGUCUGAGCCCUCAGUUUGGCCGACAGGGGAGUUCCUGCCGGUGGCUCAGAGCCUCCCGCCCCGGGGCCUGCCCACAGCUGUGUCCACUCAGGCCUAGUCCUGGUGGGUCAGCCAGCUGUCAGAUGAGAGGCUGCAGGCGCCAGAGUGGCCGUCUGUGGCCUGGAAAUCACAUGG
rnacentral:lncRNA from 1 species